UGUUUACUCCCUCCGUUCGAAAAUACUUGUCAUCAAAAUGGAUAAAAAGAGAUGUAUCUAGAACUAAAAUACAUCUAGAUACAUCUUCUUUUAUCCAUUUUGAUGACAAGUAUUUUCGGACGGAGGGAGUAUAUG
rnacentral:pre_miRNA from 1 species